AGUGAACGCUGGCGGUAGGCCUAACACAUGCAAGUCGAACGGCAGCACAGUAAGAGCUUGCUCUUACGGGUGGCGAGUGGCGGACGGGUGAGGAAUACAUCGGAAUCUACUUUUUCGUGGGGGAUAACGUAGGGAAACUUACGCUAAUACCGCAUACGACCUACGGGUGAAAGCAGGGGAUCUUCGGACCUUGCGCGAUUGAAUGAGCCGAUGUCGGAUUAGCUAGUUGGCGGGGUAAAGGCCCACCAAGGCGACGAUCCGUAGCUGGUCUGAGAGGAUGAUCAGCCACACUGGAACUGAGACACAGUCCAGACACCUACGGGAGGCAGCAGUGGGGAAUAUUGGACGAUGGGCGCAAGCCUGAUCCAGCCAUACCGCGUGGAUGAAGAAGGCCUUCGGGUUGUAGAGCCCUUUUGUUGGGAGAGAAAAGCAGCAGGUUAAUACCCCGCUGUUCUGACGGUACCCAAAGAAUAAGCACCGGCUAACUUCGUG
rnacentral:rRNA from 1 species